rnacentral:rRNA from 1 species
UACGGGGGGGGCAAGCGUUGUUCGGAAUUACUGGGCGUAAAGGGCGCGUAGGCGGCCAACUAAGUCAUACGUGAAAUCCCUCGGCUUAACCGGGGAACUGCGUCUGAUACUGGAUGGCUUGAGAUUGGGAGAGGGAUGCGGAAUUCCAGGUGUAGCGGUGAAAUGCGUAGAUAUCUGGAGGAACACCGGUGGCGAAGGCGGCAUCCUGGACCAACACUGACGCUGAGGAGCGAAAGCCAGGGGAGCAAACGGG